UACGAAGGGGGCUAGCGUUGCUCGGAAUUACUGGGCGUAAAGGGCGCGUAGGCGGCACUGUUAGUCAGGCGUGAAAGUCCUGGGCUCAACCUGGGGGCUGCAUACGAGACGUAUGGGCUUGAGUGCGGAAGAGGGUCGUGGAAUUCCCAGUGUAGAGGUGAAAUUCGUAGAUAUUGGGAAGAACACCGGUGGCGAAGGCGGCGACCUGGUCCGUGACUGACGCUGAGGCGCGAAAGCGUGGGGAGCAAACAGG
rnacentral:rRNA from 1 species